rnacentral:rRNA from 1 species
GCUUGUAGGUGGCUCGUUGCGUCGGGAGUGAAAACCCGUGGCUUAACCGCGGGCCUGCUUCCGAUACGGGCGAGCUAGAGUUCGGCAGGGGAGACUGGAAUUCCUGGUGUAGCGGUGGAAUGCGCAGAUAUCAGGAGGAACACCGGUGGCGAAGGCGGGUCUCUGGGCCGAUACUGACACUGAGAAGCGAAAGCGUGGGGAGCGAACAGGAUUAGAUACCCUGGUAGUCCACGCCGUAAACGUUGGGAACUAGGUGUGGGGUCCAUUCCACGGGCUCUGUGCCGCAGCUAACGCAUUAAGUUCCCCGCCUGGGGAGUACGGCCGCAAGGCUAAAACUCAAAGGAAUUGACGGGGGCCCGCACAAGCGGCGGAGCAUGUGGCUUAAUUCGAUGCAACGCGAAGAACCUUACCUGGGCUUGACAUGUUCGGUCUACCUGCAGAGAUGUGGGGUGCUUUUGCGCCGUUCACAGGUGGUGCAUGGUUGUCGUCAGCUCGUGUCGUGAGAUGUUGGGUUAAGUCCCGCAACGAGCGCAACCCUCGUUCCAUGUU